rnacentral:rRNA from 1 species
AUUGAACGCUGGCGGCAGGCCUAACACAUGCAAGUCGAGCGGCAGCGGGAAAGUAGCUUGCUACUUUUGCCGGCGAGCGGCGGACGGGUGAGUAAUGCCUGGGAAAUUGCCCAGUCGAGGGGGAUAACAGUUGGAAACGACUGCUAAUACCGCAUACGCCCUACGGGGGAAAGCAGGGGACCUUCGGGCCUUGCGCGAUUGGAUAUGCCCAGGUGGGAUUAGCUAGUUGGUGAGGUAAUGGCUCGCCAAGGCGACGAUCCCUAGCUGGUCUGAGAGGAUGAGCAGCCACACUGGAACUUAGACACGGUCCAGACUCCUACGGGAGGCAGCAGUGGGGAAUAUUGCACAAUGGGGGAAACCCUGAUGCAGCCAUGCCGCGUGUGUGAAGAAGGCCUUCGGGUUGUAAAGCACUUUCAGCGAGGAGGAAAGGUUGAUGCCUAAUACGUAUCAACUGUGACGUUACUCGCAGAAGAAGCACCGGCUAACUCCGUGCCAGCCGCCGCAGUAACAC